AUUGAACGCUGGCGGAAUGCUUUACACAUGCAAGUCGAACGGUAGAGGGGGCAACCCCUCGAGAGUGGCGAACGGGUGAGUAAUAUAUCGGAACGUGCCCAGUCGUGGGGGAUAACGUAGCGAAAGUUAAGCUAAUACCGCCUACGAACUAAGGAUGAAAGCGGGGGAUCGCAAGACCUCGCGCGAUUGGAGCGGCCGAUAUCCGAUUAGGUAGUUGGUGGGGUAAAGGCUCACCAAGCCAACGAUCUGUAGCUGGUCUGAGAGGACGACCAGCCACACUGGAACUGAGACACGGUCCAGACUCCUACGGGAGGCAGCAGUGGGGAAUUUUGGACAAUGGACGCAAGUCUGAUCCAGCCAUUCCGCGUGCAGGAUGAAGGCCCUCGGGUUGUAAACUGCUUUUGUACGGAACGAAAAGGUCUCUCUUAAUACGGGGGACUCAUGACGGUACCGUAAGAAUAAGCACCGGCUAACUACGUGCCAGCCGCCGCAGUAA
rnacentral:rRNA from 1 species